GCGGCCACAUCGGGCGCAUAAAACUUGGCCUGCUCUUCGGGUCCAUCCUUGGCGCCCAGGGGCUGUAGACCAAGCGGCCCGGAACCGGCCAGGGUAUUAUGAUAACUCCCGCAAUAUUCGAUGGAGAAGGAGGAGGCUGCCAGGCAGAAGAACCAAGGAACGUGGAACGAAGGUGAAACCACUGAGUCACCUUGGCGACUACGUCCUGCCAACCAGAACUCCAAGCUGUUCAACUCCUCUGCAGCGGGCAGAGCAGAACGAGCUCCCCGGACUUGGUGUGGAAGGACAGAAGAGCCAGAGUCACUCGGCGGGGAACAGCACGGCUCGCCCAGGCAGCAGGCUAGCGGCGUUGCUCCGCUCAACGCCUCCAAGGCCGCUGGCGGGUUCGGGGUUCUGGAGAACAGGGGCCUGAGCAGGAGGGGCGGCGCUCCCUCGUCGGGGGCAAUG